GCCUCGGUGGCGUAGUGGUCAAGACGCUCGCCUGGUAAUCAGGAGGGCGUGGGUUCGAUCCCAGCCGAGGUG
rnacentral:tRNA from 1 species